rnacentral:ncRNA from 1 species
AAAAAGUUUGAUUCUAGCUUAGAAAUUUAUUAAAAAUUUAAUAAUACAUGUAAAUUUUUGUGGGAAAAAUAUUUUUUUUUAAUAAAAAAAUAAAUUUGAAUAAUCUCAGUAUUUAAAAUUAAAUAUUAUAGAAAUAUAGAUUUAGUAAUAUUUUACAAUAUUAGCAAAAAUUGUGCCAGCAGCUGCGGUUAUACAAUUAAUUUAAAUAAAUUUUAUAAGUUAAUAGUUAAUUAAUAAAAAUAAAUUUAAAUAUAUAAUUUUAAGGUGAAAUUUAUUUUAUAUAAAAGAUUUAUUUAUAUAAUGAAGCUAUAAAAAUUAAAUAAUAAACUAGGAUUAGAUACCCUAUUAUUUUAAUUAAUAUAAAUACUUAAGUAGUAAUAGGUAUAGGCUUGAAACUUAAAGAAUUUGGCGGUAUUUUAAUCUUUUCAGAGGAACCUGUUCUAUAAUCGAUAUUCCACGUUAAAUUUUACUAAAUUUUAUUAUUUAUAUAUCGUUGUCGAAAGAAUAUUUUUAUAAAAUUAUAAUUUUCUAAUAUUUUGAAGAAAAAAGAUGUCAAAUCAAGGUGUAGUUAAUAAUUUAGUAGAAAUGGGUUACAAUAAAUUUAUUUAAACGAAAAUAUUAUUGAAAAAUAAUUUAGAAGGAGGAUUUGAAAGUAAAUUAAUUUUAAUAAAUUUAAUUGAUUAUAGUUCUAAGAUAUGUACAUAUUGCCCGUCGCUCUUUUUUUUAAAAAAAGAUAAGUCGUAACAUAGUAGAUGUACUGGAAAGUGUAUCUAGAAAGAC